AUAACAACCUCUGGAGUCAAACAUAACCGCGCAAAUCAUCCAUGUAGAUUGUUGAUCAUCAGGUGUAUCUUCACACAAUAUGUUUGAAUAUGUUCGAGUGCUUCCCGAAAUCCCAAGUGCUUCUCGAGUACUACAUGAUGAUUGUAGAGGCUGUGGAUGGCUCUGAAUAAAGAAAAAAGAUAGGUGUAGCCUGACUCUAUGUUUAAAUGCGAAACAAUUAAAUAUAGAAUCUAAUAAAGACUAUAUGGAAGUUUAGGUGCAUCUUUCGAUGCACCUAAUAGGUGUAGCCCUGACUCUAUGCUUAAAUGUGAAAUAGUUAAACAUAUAGUCUAAAGACUAUUAUCCAAAGGCAUACUUGAAAUGAAAUAUUGAGUAUCCUGACUCGAGCAGUUCUGGUCCGAGUGCUUAUGAACCCGAGUGGUACCAGCUCAGGUUGUUCUCUCCUGAGCGAUUUGAACUCAAAUGGUUUGGUGAUAAAUAAAUAAUGUGUAUCCUCAAACAGAUAAUUGAAAAACUACCUUGCCUAAGGAGUAGAUAACGUUGUUUCAGCAUAAUCGUUACAACUGAGUAGUUAGCACCGAGUGCACUUUUGCUUACUCAAGUUUUAGGCACAGGCUUAAAUGGCGCAUUAAAUGCCUUGGGUGUAAUCGAACAAUAUAUGUGUAAAAAAUAGCCGUUGGCCUGUUUUUGAUACCCAAAAUUGUAGGAAAUUACGAAAUUUAUGUUAUCGUUUAGGCUAAUCAUAAAACCGUAGUUUCUAUUUGACAUGGUAUUGAGUGCGCCAGCACUGGGCUUUAAGCACCGGCCCGCUAGACCCACGAAGGACACAACAACACUUAGACGUUGUUUGGAGAAUCGAGAAUAUUAAUUGGGCUGUAGCUUUCUCGAGAAUAUUAAUUGGGCUGUAGCUCUACAGACCGGUAGAGCAUCCCCAACAACUCAUCUAAAUUUGGUCAUCCAUAUCUUUAUUUGGAUGAUCAUUUAAAACACUUUCAUCCUUCGUAUCCCUUUAUACUACAGCAGAUCAUCUAUAUAUGACAUCUUCUAUAUCUAUUUGGAGGAUUGGAGAGAAAAUAUCUAGAUAUAGAGUUUCUCUCUCCUAAUAUGGAUGACAUCCAAAAAUAGAUGAUGAGAUAAAGGUUCUGCUGUAACUUAACUUUUACUCUUCAUUCUAUAUUUCUAAAAUAGAGGACGAGAUAAAUGAACGGUCGGAGAUGCUCUUGGACCCAGGAAGCCGAAGAGCCACGGUCUUUAUAUCUUUGUCGUUGUCGCUCCAUCUUCUUCCCCUCGCCUUUGUCGUUCAUCCCGCCAUUCUCUCUCUUCAACCCCGUCGCCGUUUAGUCUCCCUCCAACCCAAGGCCGCCUUGCGCUUGGUGACCUUGCUUCCGCAGCCAGCCAACUCCCCGCUGCCUAGCUCCACCAUCUAAUUUGAGAUCCGUUAGGGUUUUAGCAUCCAAUUGACGUCUCCGAAGGAUUCUGGGAAGGAACUCCCCCUCGCAGCGUGGCAAACCUCCAUGUUCAUCUUCUCCCCUUGUACUUACUGCCAAAAAAAUUUGAUAGACUUCCUCCCCUCUUCGGAAUAGAAAUAGACUAUUUCUACAUAGGGAAAGUCGUGUGCAAUGAAAAAUACAAGCAUGAUUUAGCGAGGGGUUUUUUCUCUAAUGUAACCAGAAAUAAUUAUCUACUCCAUCCGAUUCAUCAGACUGUUCCGGGUUCGAGUCCCGGGCAACCCAUAUAGAAAGGACAUGCAUCAUCACGUUCUUCUCAGUAGACAGCAUGAGCCCAAAUCUUCUGCGUGUCGAUCAACAAAUAGCGCAAGUCUACCUAGCCUGAUCACUUCCGCUGCAGCAUGCUUCCGUUCCCUGCCCCUGCGUGUCCCGUGCUCUGCCUAACCAUGGUACCGCGAGCUCUCCCAGUAGCUAGCUCCGCCUUUGACGCCAUAAACGCGACCACAUCGGCGUUCUGCGAGCCGGCGAAGUGUGGGAACCUCACCAUCGGCUACCCAUUCUGGCUCGCGGGCGCACAUCUGGCGGAGUGCGGCUACAGAACUUUUAACCAUGGAAACGCUUCCCUCAAGAAAGAAUUCUGGACGUACCAAAUCCAGCGCAUCUUCUACCACAACAGCUCAUUCAGAGUCACCACCAAGGCGCUCGAGUGCAGCGGAACGGCGUGUCGCUGGCGUUCAUCUGUGGUAAGCUCGUUUAUAAGCUGCCGUUUCCUGGCAGAAAUUGAGCCAUAAGGUGUGGAAGUUUUGUGAAUUUCUUUGGAAGCCCAGCAUUCCAAAUAAGCCGUACACAUUUCCUUACCCAGGCACCCAGCAGCUGUUGUCCUAGCUAAUCACUUUAUAGUCAAAAUUUUAAUACCUCAAGUCUCAAGAUACAGAGUAACUGGAGAUAUUAAAUUUUACAUUAAAAAUAUGAUAUGUCCCGGUGUUUUCUCAAAUAUGAUAAAAUUGAUCUAUUUUAAAUAAAAGAUUUUUUCUAAAUUCCCAAAAGAAUUGAAUUUUCAAACAUCUGGCAGCACUUCUGUCAGAAGAAGGUUCAUGGUCACAAGAAAAGCAAAUGAAAUAAUAGAGUAGUUAUCCACACAGAAAUUCUAAUUCAGACAAGACGGCCUACAUAUGACCGUUCAUUAUCCCUUGUAUCCAACAUGGGUUACGAAGAAUUACUUCAUCAGUCAAAUGAUUAGUUCACUAACUCGAAGAUAUGGAUAGAUCAUAUACAGAAUGUCAAACUUCAAACAUAAUACUUCAUUUCUUUAGGACAACAUCAAAUAUUCUUCACUUGAUAUUACUUUUGUUAAUUAAGUGUGUGUUAUUGCAGGAAGCAGGAAAAAGACCAGGAAGGUCAUACUAAUAGGUAUGCUAAAAACAUUUACCGUUGAAUCGUAAGUUAAAAAAAUUAAGCAAUCAUAUCCAUAAUUUAUGUAAUCUUAUGUCGUUCUGUUCAAAAUUUUAAAACCUAGUAUUGAAUGUGACACAACCUAGUAGUACGAGUAUGGACAUAUUCACUAAAUUUUAAAUAUUUUGAGAUGGAUGUAGUGUAAUACUGGUUGGUUUGGAUUAAAUUUCUAUCCAUUUUUCCUUGUAGAUUUUGUCACCUUACACUUUUAUGAUUAAUAUGAAAAUCCAGUGAUGUUCAUUCAAAUUAAAUGGUCAUAGUAUAACAUUAUGAAUCUAUAAAAUGAAAUAACAUGUGCUUUAAUCUCAGUUUCGACAGCAGCAGCUGCAAGCUUGCUCUUACCAUGUAUAUAUGUGCUCGUAUGGCAUAGGGAGGGGAAAAAACUACGGUAUGUCCUGUGCACAAAGGCUAGCAGCACCAGUGAAAAGAACAUUGAGAACCUAAUAGUAUCUUAUGGAUCCCUAGCUCCAAAAAGAUACAAGUACUCAGAGGUCACGAAGAUAACAUCAUUUCUUAAUAAUAAGCUUGGAGAAGGAGGUUAUGGUGUCGUAUUCAAAGGAAGGUUACAGGAUGGUCGUCUAGUUGCUGUGAAAUUCCUACGUGAUUCAGAAGGAAAUGGAGAGGAGUUUGUGAAUGAAGUCAUGAGCAUUGGAAGGACCUCUCAUGUCAAUGUUGUCAGCUUAUUUGGGUUUUGUCUGGAGGGCUCAAAACGAGCUCUUCUUUAUGAGUACAUGUCCAAUGGUUCUCUAGACAAUUACAUUUACUCAGAAAGUCUCAAGGAAAUUCUGGGAUGGGACAAACUUUACAGAAUAGCAAUCGGAAUUGCUCGUGGGCUAGAAUACUUGCACCAUGGUUGUAAUACACGAAUCGUCCAUUUUGAUAUAAAGCCUCAGAAUAUCCUUCUAGAUCAGGAUUUUUGCCCAAAGAUUGCUGAUUUUGGUUUAGCUAAAUUAUGCCAAACCAAAGAAAGCAAGCUUACAAUGACAGGUGCUAGAGGAACAAUUGGAUUCAUCGCUCCUGAAGUUAUCUAUCGAACCUUUGGAAUAGUUUCAACAAAGUCAGAUGUGUAUAGUUAUGGAAUGAUGUUGCUAGAGAUGGUCGGAGGCCGAAAAAAUGUCAAACAGAUGGUUGAAAAUUCUAGUGAGAAGUAUUUUCCAGAUUGGAUUUAUGACCACUUUGCUCUAGAUGAUGGACUACAAGCUUGUGAAGUCACAGGUGAGGUUCAGGAAAUUGCAAAAAAGAUGAUUUUAAUUGGCUUGUGGUGUGUUCAAGUAGUACCUAUGCAUCGCCCAACAAUGACCCAGGUUUUAGAUAUGUUUGAGAGAGGUUUGGAUGAACUGGAAAUGCCACCGAAGCAAAAUUUCUGUGAAUUACUGUAAGAUAACUUCUCUACACAUUCUAACAUGGACUGGUAAUAUUUUCAAUGAUGCUCAUCUAGCUAUUUGCACUUUUCAGAGAACAUCCGAUUCAAAUGCGGAAUACAGACAGCACAAGUUGUGCUAGAAGUUCCAAAGAUGCCCAAGCUGUUAGCGAAGUGCUAAAGGUUGAGGAGAUAAGCUUAGUGAAUUCAGAAAAUACUAUAGGGACUACCAACUCUGCGAAAAGAUGAACCUACAGCAUUAAGAAAUUAAGACACCAGGAUCGGAUUUUGACAUUAUAUCACAACACAUUAACGGAAUUUCUUAGUGUGUUUAAGGCAUUUGAAUCUAAGCUAUUGCCGUUUCAAUCUUUCAUGUUUUAGUAAUGAUGUGGCUACGGCCAUGGCUGCAAUAUCUGUAAGAUUUAAUUGGGUAAUUGAUCUAUUUAAAUCAAUUAAAUCAAAUAAUUUUCAAGGAUCAUUAUGCUAAGAGUUAUAUGUGUUACAUACCUCAUGGGUAAUCAAGGAGAAUGUGACAAGUUUUGAGAAGUAAUCCAAGGAUUGGUUAUGGAAUAAUAACUAAUGUCAAUUAUAUAUAAUUCAUGGUUGGUUCACGGUGGAGUAGUGGAGUAUGGUUAAUGGAUGAUUAAUGAUAAAUUACUCUACUCUCUUUGUCUCCAUAUUCCAUGAGUUCCUUCCUAUUUAUCUUCCAUUCCUCCUAUAAAAGGAGAAUGGAUCUGAUCUCCCAUGCACGUAGAAAACAAAGAAAUACAUGUCCACCUUAGUUGUUACCUGGUUUUUCCAUCCCAUUGUUUGGGUGCACAUGCGCCAGGAGAGCGGGCCUCUGCCUCCCUGAUCUUGCACUGAGAGGAGAAGGUGAAUCAAGUUUUUGGGGAACACACUACGCGACUGCUCACUGAUUCACUAUUAUAUCCUCUUCACCAUGGCUACCGGCGACAACAUCAAUAUCAACACUGACAACAGGAGCGGCAACAGUGGCAAUGGUAGCGGCUCUAGAAAGGGAACAUCAACGGCAAUGGUGUUUCUAGCUCUACUUCUGUUGUAGUUGCACCAUCUGUUUUCUUCACCUUCUCAAUUAAUGUUUUGAUUACUUUGCUUCUAUACACAAAUGAGAUAGACAUGCAUGUUCCUUCUAUUUUCAAAUGGUGCAUGUCUAUUUGGUUUAUCUCUUGUGUUGAGAGUAAAUUGUUUUCUAUAGUCUAUAUUAUCUUUAUGAUUUACGUUGUUUAUUUCUGGAUUAAGUCUUAAGGAAAAUUGCUAAUAUUUCCAACAAUAUCUAGCAUUGACAGUCAGUCCUUUCUACUUACUCUUUACAUACUACGGAAGGUCCAAUGAGCCAAUAGCCAAUUAACCAAAAACUUAUUCAAAACAAUGACUAUCAGCUUGAGCUUAUUUAGUUUUGUACUUGAACUAAUUUAAUUCUUCAUCUCAGAAACGGGUAACCUAUCUUUUUGCUUCUGCAACACAUCAAAACCCAAAUAGUCAGAAGUCAGGACUGACAGAAAAUCAACCAAAUGCUAAUGUUCACCUUCAUACCACCAUAAGGUUGGGUGCACAACAGAGCAGCAUCUUGAAUUCUUGAUCACAAACACUGGGUACGGUUGAUAUACGCGUGGCAACAGUUUACAACGAAGUGACAAAAUUACCACAUUUUCCACUUCCCAAAUUGAUCUACCCGCAACAACUAGCAUAAAUCACACCAUCACAGUGCCAAAAAUUUCAAGGGAAAGUACUACACAAUCAAAGAGUAGGUUACCUGAUGGUUUCCUCGGAGGAAACAAAGAAGAAGCAGGCACCUGUUCCAGUCUAAGCCUCUGGGCCAAAAUCCUGAACCUCACUAGCACUCACUGCAAUCUCACUCCGGCGCAUCUGCUCGACCAAUGCCUCGCUCAACGCGGCAAGUCCAGGCAGGACGCCGCCAUCUCCACAAUGCUUGUGCUGUAACCCAUCCCCAAAUCCGCCGCCGCCAGCGCGGCCGGGGCUGAGACUAGUGCUGUACGGAGGCUUCCUCCAUGCCCACAGCCGAGCGGACGGUGUUUGCUGCUGCGGCUCUCGACCGCAGUCCUACAGCGCCGCCGCCGUCGACGCGCCGCCGCCGCGAAGAACAAGGGCAGCACGGGCGAUGGUAUCACUGAUGGGCCC
rnacentral:lncRNA from 1 species